AUGAACGCUGGCGGCGUGCCUAAUACAUGCAGGUCGAGCGAACGGACGAGAAGCUUGCUUCUCUGAUGUUAGCGGCGGACGGGUGAGUAACACGUGGAUAACCUACCUAUAAGACUGGGAUAACUUCGGGAAACCGUAGCUAAUACCGGAUAAUAUUUUGAACCGCAUGGUUCAAAAGUGAAAGACGGUCUUGCUGUCACUUAUAGAUGGAUCCGCGCUGCAUUAGCUAGUUGGUAAGGUAACGGCUUACCAAGGCAACGAUGCAUAGCCGACCUGAGAGGGUGAUCGGCCACACUGGAACUGAGACACGGUCCAGACUCCUACGGGAGGCAGCAGUAGGGAAUCUUCCGCAAUGGGCGAAAGCCUGACGGAGCAACGCCGCGUGAGUGAUGAAGGUCUUCGGAUCGUAAAACUCUGUUAUUAGGGAAGAACAUAUGUGUAAGUAACUGUGCACAUCUUGACGGUACCUAAUCAGAAAGCCACGGCUAACUACGUG
rnacentral:rRNA from 1 species